rnacentral:misc_RNA from 1 species
AACGCACAUUGCGCCUCCUGGUAUUCCGGGAGGCAUGCCUGUCCGAGCGUCAUCAACAGACCCUUCAAGCCCUUUCGCUUGGUGUUGGUGUAGGAGGGUGCCUCAGCUUGGUGCCCUCCGCUCCGAAAUUCAACGGCGGAGACCGUCACGUGCCCACCGGCGUAGUAAAGUUCUGCUUCUCGUCUGGAACGUGCCGUCAUCCUGCCCUUCAAACCCCCAAUUCCAUUCCAGGUUGACCUCGGAUCAGGUAGGGAUACCCGCUGAACUUAA